AACGAACGCUGGCGGCAGGCUUAACACAUGCAAGUCGAACGGGUGCAGCAAUGCAUCAGUGGCAGACGGGUGAGUAACACGUGGGAACCUUCCUAGGGGUACGGAACAACUCAGGGAAACUUGAGCUAAUACCGUAUACGUCCGUGAGGAGAAAGAUUUAUCGCCCUUAGACGGGCCCGCGUCGGAUUAGCUAGUUGGUGGGGUAACGGCCUACCAAGGCGACGAUCCGUAGCUGAUCUUAGAGGAUGAUCAGCCACACUGGGACUGAGACACGGCCCAGACUCCUACGGGAGGCAGCAGUGGGGAAUCUUGGACAAUGGGCGCAAGCCUGAUCCAGCCAUGCCGCGUGAGUGAUGAAGGCCCUAGGGUUGUAAAGCUCUUUUGUGCGGGAAGAUAAUGACUGUACCGCAAGAAUAAGCCCCGGCUAACUUCGUGCCAGCCGCCGCGGUAA
rnacentral:rRNA from 1 species